rnacentral:rRNA from 1 species
AGCAGCCGCCGCGGUAAGACAGAGGAUGCAAGCGUUAUCCGGAAUGAUUGGGCGUAAAGCGUCUGUAGGUGGCUUUUCAAGUCCGCCGUCAAAUCCCAGGGCUCAACCCAUAGUCUGCACAGGAAACUGCGAGGCUGGAGGAUGGGAGAGGUGAGUGGAAUUUCCGGUGUAGCGGCGAAAUGCGUAGAUAUCGGAAGGAACACCUGUGGCGAAAGCGGCUCACUGGACCAUUUCUGACGCUGAUGCACGAAAGCUAGGGGAGCAAACAGGAUUAGAUACCCCUGUAGUCCCUGUCUCUUAUAC